AUAACAGCCUUUCUGUGAGAGAAAAUCGGACAAACAAGCUCAAAGAAUGCGAACGGAACUAAACGAGGAAAAAGACCACUGCGAAGGGACCACCUAGUUCGACCAUUGAAUAAUCGAUCGGUCGCUGAAGCCGCUAACCGCCACAUAAACGACUCAAGGAAGAAGAACCGCCGGUGAAAGCGGAAUAACAAUUUUCACGUAAAAGUGACUACAUUUGACGCAAUCCACAUGCCCUGAACGUGUGCCUCUUUCCCAGCACCUGGCGUUUGAACGUGUUUGUUUUUGAUCGACGUGUUUCAAAUCGCCUCAGUCACGUGGGACCCGUAGGGUUGACAACCUGAUAUCCGCCAUGCUUAAGUUGGAAAUAGCGAGAAAGACUAAAAGAGGCAAGACUUAUCUGUUCCUUCAAGAUUACAUUGAAUAUGGGCUGAUACUGCAACGCGCUCAAAGAUGGAGGGGUCCUGAGAAUUAGGGCUAAAACACGGCUAUGACGUCAUGCAACUUUCCUUUCAAGAGCCGAAUGGCCGGAGGGACUUCUCAUUAUAACCAAAAUAGAAUUAUGGCAUACAAACUUAAGAAUCAUCGAUAAUUUUAAAAUUAGUAACUUUAACAAGACUAUGCGGAAAAGAUUUUCUUUUCAUUUGCUGUGAAAUUUGCUAAGAAACAUGAGAAAGAGCUAGAAAGGCUAAGGUCUCGUGACAUUGUACCCACUGAACCAAAUCCUUGCUUGUUGCGAUUUGCACAACAAGAAACUCACUGUUAACCUGUGUUUCAAUACGUUUAUGCAAGCAUAUCCAUACACGCGUUUUCCGACAUCCGUUCUCGUGAAACGACAACCGGAAAACUUGGACGCACGGGAAGAUAUUUUUGGACUAUUAGUAAUUCAUGUGUACGUUGUGUGUGAUCGAUAUUUUAGUUAAGUAUUGAUAACUACUGAAGACGAAGAAAGGUAAGGGUAAAAAUAAACGAUUGAAAACGAAA